rnacentral:snRNA from 10 species
UGUGGGUAACUCGGUCGUAUAAUUUCUGGUAGUGGGGACUGCGUUCGCGCUAUCCCCGU